rnacentral:rRNA from 1 species
UACAGAGGUCCCAAGCGUUGUUCGGAUUCACUGGGCGUAAAGGGUGCGUAGGCGGUCGGGUAAGUCUGAUGUGAAAUCUCACAGCUUAACUGUGAAACUGCAUUGGAUACUAUUCGGCUUGAGAGUUGGAGGGGGGACUGGAAUUCUUGGUGUAGCAGUGAAAUGCGUAGAUAUCAAGAGGAACACCAGUGGCGAAGGCGGGUCUCUGGGCCAUUACUGACGCUGAGGAGCGAAAGCGUGGGGAGCGAACAGG